rnacentral:rRNA from 1 species
GAUGAGCGCUGGCGGCGUGCCUAAUACAUGCAAGUCGAGCGAACGGACGAGAAGCUUGCUUCUCUGAUGUUAGCGGCGGACGGGUGAGUAACACGUGGAUAACCUACCUAUAAGACUGGGAUAACUUCGGGAAACCGGAGCUAAUACCGGAUAAUAUUUUGAACCGCAUGGUUCAAAAGUGAAAGACGGUCUUGCUGUCACUUAUAGAUGGAUCCGCGGCAUUAGCUAGUUGGUAAGGUAACGGCUUACCAAGGCAACGAUGCAUAGCCGACCUGAGAGGGUGAUCGGCCACACUGGAACUGAGACACGGUCCAGACUCCUACGGGAGGCAGCAGUAGGGAAUCUUCCGCAAUGGGCGAAAGCCUGACGGAGCAACGCCGCGUGAGUGAUGAAGGUCUUCGGAUCGUAAAACUCUGUUAUUAGGGAAGAACAUAUGUGUAAGUAACUGUGCACAUCUUGACGGUACCUAAUCAGAAAGCCACGGCUAACUACGUG